rnacentral:rRNA from 1 species
AGCUGACUGUACCGAAUUAAUAGAGAUCGGCUAACUCCGUGCCAGCAGCCGCGGUAAUACGGAGGAUGCGAGCGUUAUCCGGAUUUAUUGGGUUUAAAGGGUGCGUAGGCGGCUUGUUAAGUCAGGGGUGAAAUACGGCGGCUCAACCGUCGAAGUGCCCUUGAUACUGAAGGGCUUGAAUGGACUGGAGGUAGGCGGAAUGGAAGGAGUAGCGGUGAAAUGCAUAGAUAUGAUCCAGAACACCGAUUGCGAAGGCAGGUGACUACGGUUGAUUUGACACUGAGGCACGAAAGCGUGGGGAUCGAACAGGAUUAGAUACCCUGGUAGUCCACGCCGUAAACGAUGAAGACUCGCUGUUGG